UACGUAGGGGGCAAGCGUUGUCCGGAUUUAUUGGGCGUAAAGAGCGUGUAGGCGGCCAGGCAGGUCGGCUGUGAAAACUCGAGGCUCAACCUCGAGCUGUCGGCCGAAACCAUCUGGCUAGAGUCCGGAAGAGGAGAAUGGAAUUCCCGGUGUAGCGGUGAAAUGCGCAGAUAUCGGGAAGAACACCCGUGGCGAAGGCGGUUCUCUGGGACGGUACUGACGCUGAGACGCGAAAGCGUGGGGAGCGAACAGG
rnacentral:rRNA from 1 species